AGUGAAUAGAUACCCCGGUAGUCCACGCCCUAAACGAUGAACACUAGUCGUCGCUCUGCUAGUCAGGGCGGUGAUGCACUUAACAGGUUAAGUGUUCCGCCUGGGGAGUACGGUCGCAAGAUUAAAACUCAAAGGAAUAGACGGGGACCCGCACAAGUGGUGGAGCAUGUGGUUUAAUUCGAAGAUACGCGAAAAACCUUACCUGGCCUUGACAUUGAUAGAAUCCUGUAGAGAUACGGGGAGUGCCCUUCGGGGUAGCUUGAAAACAGGUGCUGCACGGCUGUCGUCAGCUCGUGUCGUGAGAUGUUGGGUUAAGUCCCGCAACGAGCGCAACCCUCGUCCUUAGUUGCCAGCAGGUUAAGCUGGGCACUCUAGGGAGACUGCCUUCGCAAGGAGGAGGAAGGUGAGGACGACGGUCAAGUCAUCAUGGCCCUUACGGCCAGGGUCUACACACGUGCUACAAUGGGGCGUACAGAGUGUUGCGAUACCGCGAGG
rnacentral:rRNA from 1 species